CCUACGGGUGGCAGCAGUGGGGGAUAUUGCACAAUGGGGGAAACCCUGAUGCAGCGACGCCGCGUGGGCGAAGAAGUAUUUCGGUAUGUAAAGCCCUAUCAGCAGGGAAGAAGAAAUGACGGUACCUGAGUCAGAAGCCCCGGCUAACUACGUGCCAGCAGCCGCGGUAAUACGUAGGGAGCAAGCGUUGUCCGGAUUUACUGGGUGUAAAGGGUGCGUAGGCGGGAACACAAGUCAGGCGUGAAAUACCGGGGCUCAACUCCGGGGCUGCGCUUGAAACUGUGUUUCUUGAGUGAAGUAGAGGCAGGCGGAAGUCCUAGUGUAGCGGUGGAAUGCGUAGAUAUUAGGAGGAACACCAGUGGCGAAGGCGGCCUGCUGGGCUUUAACUGACGCUGAUGCACGAAAGCAUGGGGAGCAAACAGGAUUAGAUACCCCUGUAGUC
rnacentral:rRNA from 1 species